CCCACGGCCGUGACCUUGUCUGAGGGGAGGUGGGGGGGCUCGGGGACACCCCCGAGUUUAUCGCGACAGAGGCGACAGCGACAGCGACAGCGGCGACAUGGCCGGGCUGGGGAUGGGAGCGGGGCUGCGGCUGCUGCGGAGGAUCCCGCCCGGAUUUGGGGGGUCCCGGCUGCAAAGCACGCAGGAAGCGCAGGCCGUGCUCCCCAAAACUGGGACCACCACGGCCACGGCAGCCCCCCCAAAAGCCCAGAAGAGCCUCGAGGAAUCGAAAUCCUUCGCUGUGGGGAUGUUUUUGGGGCGCCUCAAUGCUGAACAGGUGUUCCCCUACCCCUCAGUCCUGACCGAGGAACAAGAACAAACCCUGCGGGAGCUCGUGGGUCCCCUCAGCCGCUUCUUUGAGGAGGUGAACAACCCCUUCAAGAACGACGCCCUGGAGAAGGUGGAGGACGAGACCAUGAAAGGGUUAAAGGAGCUGGGGGCCUUCGGCCUCCAGGUGCCCCUGGAAUUUGGGGGGCUGGGGCUCAACAACACCCAGUACGCGCGGCUGGUGCAGAUCGUGGGGCAGCACGACCUGGGCGUGGGGAUCACGCUGGGUGCGCACCAGUCCAUCGGCUUCAAGGGGCUGCUGCUCUACGGGACCCCCCCCCAGAAGGAGAAGUACCUGCCCCGCCUGGCCACGGGGGAGUGGGUGGCGGCGUUCUGCCUGACGGAGCCGGGCAGCGGCUCCGACGCCGCCUCCAUCCGCACCCGCGCCACGCCCAGCCCCUGCGGCUCCUUCUGGACCCUGGACGGGGAGAAAAUCUGGAUCAGCAACGGGGGCCUGGCCGAGCUGUUCACGGUGUUUGCGCAGACGCCGGUGAGGGACGAGCGCAGCGGGGAGAGCCGCGAGAGGAUCACCGCCUUCCUCGUCGAGAGGGGCUUCGGCGGCGUCACACACGGCCCCAGCGAGAAGAAGCUGGGCAUCCGCGCCUCCAACACGACGUCGCUGCACUUCGACUCCGUCCGUGUCCCGGCGCAGAACGUCCUCGGCGGCCUCGGCGGCGGCUUCAAGGUGGCCAUGAACAUCCUCAACAACGGCCGCUUCGGCAUGGCCGCGGCCAUGGCCGGCACCAUGCGGGGGCUGCUGCAGGCCGCGGUCGCCCACGCCUCCACCCGGACCCAAUUUGGGGCCAAAAUCCACAAAUUUGGGGCCAUCCAGGAGAAACUGGCCCGGAUGGCGCUGCUGCACUACGUCACCGAGUCCAUGGCCUUCAUGAUCAGCGCCAACAUGGACCGAGGUGACCCCGACUUCCAGAUCGAGGCGGCCAUCAGCAAAAUCUUCGGCUCCGAGGCCGCCUGGGCCGUGGCCGACGAGUGCAUCCAGAUCAUGGGGGGGAUGGGCUUCAUGCAGGAGCAGGGCGUGGAGCGGGUGCUGCGGGAUUUGAGGAUUUUCCGCAUUUUCGAGGGAACCAACGACAUCCUCCGGCUCUUCGUGGCCCUGCAGGGCUUCCAGGGUCUGGGGGCGCAGCUCCGGGGGGUUCAGGCGGCGCUCAGGGACCCCCUGGGCAACGUCGGCGUCCUGACGGGGGAAGUGACGCGGCGGCUGCGCAGGUACCAAAAACUGACAAAAUCACCCCAAAAACGGACAAAAUCACCCAAAAUAUCCCAAAAAUGUUCGAUUUUGGGGGUCCCGGGGUGGAUUUUUGGGGUGCUGAACCCCAAAAUCGCCCCCAAAGAGGAGCAGUUCGCCCUGAAGCGCGUGGCCGACGCCGCCAUCGACGUCUACGCCAUGGCCGUGGUGCUGUCCCGGGCCUCGAGGUCGCUGAAUUCGGGGCUCCCCACGGCGCAGCACGAGCGGCUGCUCGCCCUCAGCUGGUGCCAGGAGGUAAAGCCGGGAAUUUCGGGAAAAUUCGGGAAUUUUGGGGGAAUUCGGGAUUUUUGGGGGGAAAUUUGGGGAAUUUGGAGGGAUUUUGGGGGGAUUUUAGGGAUUUUGGGGAAAAUUUUGGGCUGGUUUGGGGUUCGCUUUGGGGACGAUUUUGGGCUGAUUUUAGGCUGA
rnacentral:lncRNA from 1 species